rnacentral:lncRNA from 1 species
AAAAUAUUUUACUUUUAUACAAUUAAACAACCUAGAAAACUUUGAUAAGUCACUACAACAAAAACGGUCUAUAGUGACACUUUUAAAUGUAGGUAUAUGUCAAAAAAGUGCUGCUAGCUAAAAUUACCGACACUUUUAAAAAGUGUUGCUAUAUGUGGGGUCGCUAGGUAUAUAGUGACAGUUAAAGAGUGUCGCUAUAACAUAAAAGAGUGCUGCUAAUUUACAAACACUUAUUUAAGCAUUUAGCAACCGCCGAAACUCUAUCUCGUUGGCUGCGGUGGCGGAGGAGGACGACAAGAAAGGCUCUUCGUCUAGAAAUUCAGUGAAUUGAGUGAAGAGAGAAGAAAAGAUGGUAAUUGAUUUUUCUUUUUUUUUUUUCUUUUCUGUUUGUAAUCGGGCCAAAUAGACUGAGUGUGGUGGGUUGAGUAGAGUAAUCUUAUAUUUUUGGUUGGAUUGGGCUUUAUAUUUAGGCAUUAGUAGAUAUUUUUUUAAAUUUUAGGAUAAAUGGGAUACUUACUCAAAAGUGUCCCAAACAUGUGUCCCUAUAACCUAAUUCUGUUGUAGUAAGUUAUUUUUAUUUAUCAAUAAAAUAACCGUGAAAAAAAAAAAUUUUCUCCAUCUCACU